UUAGUUCCUAGAAAUAGUACUGUGCGC
rnacentral:sRNA from 1 species